rnacentral:lncRNA from 10 species
GGACUGCAGGCCACAGAGCUCAAAUGAAGGCAGUGGGACAGCGAGACCCCACUGGGACCACACAGAUGCACAAGCUGCUUCAAACCUUUCAGGGCCCUUAAAUUCCCAGCAACUAAAAGGAAACAGGCCGCCUGGGGUGCUGGAAACCGCCGGCCUGGAGUCAGCCGAAGAUUUGUCCUUUCUAGAAACCGUGUACACAUGGACUCCUACAAUCCAGUCCUUUGUGUCUGGCUUCUGUCACUCAGCGUCGCAUUUCUGGGGCUCAUCCAUGUUGUAGCAUGUAGUGGUAUUCCAUUGAUUGGCUACACUGUAGUUUCUCCAUUUGCCAGAUGAUGGAUGCUUGGAUUGUUUCCAGUUUGGGGCUAUUUUGAAGAACGCUUCUAUGAGCAUUUGCAUCUGAGUUGUAUGGACGUAUGUUUUCAUUUCUCCCGGGGAGAUCCUAGGAGCGGAGUUGCUGCACUGCAUGGUGAACGUAUGUUUAACUCUUUAAGAAACUGCCUCGCUGACUUCUGAAGCAGCUGCACCGUGGCGUGUUCCCACCAGCAGCUUAUCUCGUGUCUUCACAUCUGCUGGAGGAUUUGAGCAGAGGAGAGAUGUGAUGAGACUUGCUCUUCAGAAGAUUCCUCCAGCUGCCGGGUGAGGGUCACUGAGAGGGAAAGGAAGAGGCAGGAGGGAGAAGUCUGGGUCCUAGGCUAAAGCUCCGGCUCUGGGUGGACCAGAGACAAGGAGCUGGAGUCCAGGGAUGUGUUCAACAGGGUCUGGCAUGGAAGGAGCAGGAGCCACAGAGACUUUGGUAACUGGCUCAGCCUCAAUCAGCAAGUGGCUGAGAGAGAAAAGAUGGAGGUGACUUGGGAGCAAGACUUCCAUCUGGACUGCGAUGAUGGUGCCGGGGCCUCUGGCUCUUGCCUGUCCAUGCAUCAUGCAUGGCCAGAUCAGCAGUCACAUCCCUUCAGAAGGUUCCCACAUCCUGUAAGGGGAGUGGCUCCCAGUCCUGGCUGCCCUUUUGAAUCACCUGGAAAACUUUAAAAUCUGCUG